GGCAAGAUGGCCGAGUGGUCUAAGGCGCUGUGUUCAGGCUCUUUCGAGAUACCUUGACAACCAAAUCGCAGUCUCCCUGAGGCGUGGGUUCGAAUCCCACUCUUGUCA